GACGAACGCUGGCGGCGUGCUUAACACAUGCAAGUCGAGCGGUAAGGCCCUUUCGGGGGUACACGAGCGGCGAACGGGUGAGUAACACGUGGGUGACCUGCCCUCAGCUCUGGGAUAAGCCUGGGAAACUGGGUCUAAUACUGGAUAUGACUCCACGGUGCAUGUCGUGGGGUGGAAAGCCUUGUGCGGCUGAGGAUGGGCCCGCGGCCUAUCAGCUUGUUGGUGGGGUGAUGGCCUACCAAGGCGACGACGGGUAGCCGGCCUGAGAGGGCGACCGGCCACACUGGGACUGAGACGCGGCCCAGACUCCUACGGGAGGCAGCAGUGGGGAAUCUUGCGCAAUGGGCGAAAGCCUGACGCAGCGACGCCGCGUGAGGGAUGACGGCCU
rnacentral:rRNA from 1 species